rnacentral:rRNA from 1 species
GACGUAGGGUGCGAGCGUUAUUCGGAAUUACUGGGCGUAAAGCGUGCGCAGGCGGUUUGUUAAGUCCGAUGUGAAAUCCCCGGGCUUAACCUGGGAACUGCAUUGGUGACUGGCAGGCUUUGAGUGUGGCAGAGGGAGGUAGAAUUCCACGUGUAGCAGUGAAAUGCGUAGAGAUGUGGAGGAAUACCGAUGGCGAAGGCAGCCUCCUGGGCCAACACUGACGCUCAUGCACGAAAGCGUGGGGAGCAAACAGG